rnacentral:rRNA from 1 species
GAUGAAUGCUAGCUACAGGCUUAACACAUGCAAGUCGCAAGGUAACAUGAGGAAAGCUUGCUUUCCUUGAUGACGACUGGCGCACGGGUGAGUAACGCGUAUCCAACCUUCCCAUAACUACGGGAUAACCCGUUGAAAGACGGCCUAAUACCGUAUGACAUCGUUUGCUGACAUCAAAUAACGAUUAAAGGUUUAGCGGUUAUGGAUGGGGAUGCGUCUGAUUAGCUUGUUGGCGGGGUAACGGCCCACCAAGGCGACGAUCAGUAGGGGUUCUGAGAGGAAGGUCCCCCACAUUGGAACUGAGACACGGUCCAAACUCCUACGGGAGGAAGCAGUGAGGAAUAUUGAUCAAUGGGCGAGAGCCUGAACCAGCCAAGUAGCGUGCAGGAUGACGGCCCUAUGGGUUGUAAACUGCUUUUAUGUGGGGAUAAAGUGCGUGACGUGUCAUGCAUUGCAGGUACCACAUGAAUAAGGACCGGCUAAUUCCGUG